ACGGAAGGCAGCAGUAGGGAAUCUUCCACAAUGGGCGAGAGCCUGAUAGAGCAACGCCGCGUGAGUGAAGAAGGUCUUCGGAUCGUAAAGCUCUGUUGUUAGAGAAGAACACUGAUGAGAGUAACUGUUCAUCGGUUGACGGUAUCUAACCAGCAAGUCACGGCUAACUACGUGCCAGCAGCCGCGGUAAUACGUAGGUGGCAAGCGUUAUCCGGAUUUAUUGGGCGUAAAGGGAACGCAGGCGGUUUUUUAAGUCUGAUGUGAAAGCCUUCGGCUUAACCGGAGAAUAGCAUUGGAAACUGGAAGACUUGAGUGCAGAAGAGGAGAGUGGAAUUCCAUGUGUAGCGGUGAAAUGCGUAGAUAUAUGGAGGAACACCAGUGGCGAAAGCGGCUCUCUGGUCUGUAACUGACGCUGAGGUUCGAAAGCGUGGGUAGCAAACAGGAUUAGAUACCCUGGUA
rnacentral:rRNA from 1 species